CCUGCAGCCGCUGCAAGUCGCACCGAGCUAACAGCGGCUUUUGUGAGUAUGAUGCACCGUGGUGGACGCACCUGUGAGGAACGUUAAAGCCAGCCCGGCCCGCCUGGUGCUCCCCGCCCGCCGCCGCGUACAGCCCCGCCAGCACCGUAAACACUUGACUGCUUUUUAGCACCAUCCUGGAUUUUAAAAGCUACGGCUGUGUGGAGUUUACAGCUGGAUAUUAGCAGGUGGAUACUCCUGGCGUUGUGUUUAACUAAGUGAUGGAACUAAGAGAGGCCAGUGGAUCCCUUGUCAGCUCCAUAUCCCAGCGGACAACAUGAAGGAGGAAAUUCCUCUCGCCCUGACAGUCGGAGAAGUCCAUUCCAUAAGACCUUGCACUAUGAGUCUUGAUAGCAUCUGUUCUGAAGUGUAAAAAAACAUAUAGGAAUCACCUCCUCCUGUCGAUCUUCUCUUUACCCCUAAGGAGGAAAACGACAAGUCCUCCAUACGACUACUGCCCUGCAACUACUGAACAGUUUAUUGAUGUAAACAUACUGACCCUAAGACUGUUAACCUCGACUGUUCUCUUGCUACUGCCCUUUUCCCUUUAAAAACAUAUUUUUCUAAGAAAUAUUUAUCAGAAUAUAUCUCUGCACAUACUGUGGAUAAAACUGGAUUAUUGAAAUUCAGUCCGACCCAUCCUAGAAUUUUAACUGCCCUUUUUGGAUUAAAAAAAUUAUUUGCAGCUAUGGGUCUUGUAGGUUUUUCUAUCAGACUGCAAGUAUUCCUCGGCACAUGUCUGGGACUGGACUUUUUAGGCACACCAGGUCAGUGGGCACGCUACCUCCGCUGGGACGCCAGCACCCGUGGUGACCUCAGCUUCCAGUUCAAGACGGAGGCCUCGGAGGCGCUGCUGCUCUACUUUGAUGAUGGAGGCUACUGUGACUUUCUGCAGCUCUCGGUGGUAGAGGGCCGAGUGCAGCUGGGUUUCAGCAUUGACUGUGCUGAGACCACAGUUGUAUCUGACAGACGGGUGGACGAUGGCAGUUGGCACUCUGCCACUCUGAGCAGGUAUAACCUGCGCACAGUUCUGGUACUGGAUGGCCAGGCUAAAGCAGAUGAGGUACGACCUCAGCGUCUGUUCAUGAAAAUAGUCAGCGAUCUGUUUCUGGGUGGAGUGCCUCAGGAUAUCCGCAACGGCGCACUCACACUGCCUACCGUGCGAAACAUGCAGCCCUUCAGGGGCACAAUUACAGACCUCAAAUAUGGCAUCUCGCAGCCCCUGUUCCUGGGAAGCUUUAUGGUGCCCCUGGAGUCAGAAGGGUGGUGCACAGUGAACCCAUGUGAGAAUGGCGGUACAUGCUCAGUGCUGGAUGGACAGCCAGUCUGUGACUGCUCCAAAACCGAAUACAAGGGCCGCUUCUGCAGUGAAGAGGUCAACAGCAAUAUGCCAGGCCUUGCACAUAUGAUGGCAGAACAAGCUAAAAGCAAAGGUACAGCUUUUUCGAAAUCUUUAUUUUUCCGCCUCUAUGAAAAGCGCCGCUUGCUCUCAAGGGAAGAGAAUGUGGCCACUUUCCGUGGCUCUGAGUACUUCUGCUACGAUCUUUCCCAGAACCCCAUCCAGAGCAGCAGUGACGAGAUUACGCUCUCCUUCAAGACGUGGCAGCGCAACGGCCUUAUCCUUCAUACCGGAAAGUCAGCUGACUACGUCAACCUGGCACUGAAAGACGGCGCUGUCUCCCUCGUUAUCAACCUGGGCUCCGGAGCCUUUGAGGCCAUUGUGGAGCCAGUCAAUGGGAAGUUCAACGACAACUCGUGGCAUGAUGUCAAAGUGACCCGCAACCUCCGGCAGGUGACAAUAUCCGUGGAUGGGAUUCUGACAACUACGGGUUACACCCAGGAAGACUACACCAUGUUGGGCUCUGAUGACUUCUUCUAUGUGGGUGGCAGCCCCAGCACCGCUGACCUGCCGGGAUCUCCAGUCAGCAACAACUUCAUGGGCUGUCUCAAGGAGGUGGUGUAUAAGAACAAUGACAUCCGUCUUGAGUUGUCCCGGUUGGCUCGCAUUGUGGACCCUAAGAUGAAAAUCCAGGGUGAAGUGGCCUACAAGUGUGAGAAUGUAGCAACUCUGGACCCCAUUUCUUUUGAGACUCCCGAGGCCUACAUCAGCCUCCCAAAGUGGAACACCAAGCGGAUGGGAUCCAUCUCUUUCGAUUUCCGCACGACUGAGCCCAACGGCCUAAUCCUCUUCACCCAUGGCAAACCUCAGGAGCGCAAAGACGCUGCCCGCAGCCAGAAGAACACCAAGGUGGACUUUUUUGCAGUGGAGCUGCUGGAUGGCAGCUUGUACCUUUUGUUGGACAUGGGCUCAGGGACUAUCAAGGUGAAGGCCACGCAGACAAAGGUCAAUGAUGGUGCCUGGUUUCACGUGGAUAUCCAGAGAGAUGGACGCUCAGGGACCAUCUCCGUAAACAGCAGAAGGACCCCGUUCACAGCCAGUGGUGAGAGCGAGAUUCUGGACUUAGAGGGCGACAUGUACUUAGGGGGGCUUCCCAAUGACCGCACCAACCUCAUCCUGCCCACCGAGCUCUGGACGGCGAUGCUCAACUACGGCUACGUGGGCUGUAUCCGUGACCUUUUCAUUGACGGUCGAAGCAAAGACAUCCGUCAGAUUGCUGAGGCACAAAAUGGCGCUGGCAUCAAACCCUCUUGCAACAAGCAACCAGGCAAGCAGUGUGAGAGCUACCCAUGCAAGAACCGAGGUGUCUGCAAAGAAGGCUGGAAUCGAUUCAUCUGCGACUGCACUGGCACUGGCUUCUGGUCACGCACCUGUGAAAGAGAGGCGUCCAUCCUCUCCUAUGAUGGCAGCAUGUAUAUGAAGGUGGUGAUGCCCACCAUCAUGCACACUGAAGCUGAGGAUGUCUCCCUGCGUUUUCGCUCGCAGCGGGCAUAUGGCCUCCUCAUGGCCACCACCUCCCGAGACUCAGCCGACACCCUCAGGCUGGAGUUGGACGGGGGUCGCGUGAAACUCACGGUCAACCUAGACUGUAUCAGGAUAAACUGUAACUCCAGCAAGGGACCGGAGACCUUGUAUGCCGGGCAAAAGCUUAAUGAUAAUGAAUGGCAUACAGUGCGAGUGGUGCGUCGCGGCAAAACCUACAAGCUAACUGUUGACGAUGAUGUAGCAGAAGGCCAAAUGGUGGGCGACCACACCCGCCUGGAGUUCCACAACAUCGAAACAGGCACAAUGACAGAGCGUCGAUUUGUUUCCAGCAUCCCAUCCAGCUUCAUUGGUCAUCUACAGAGCCUUAGAUUUAACGGCAUGCUCUACAUCGACCUGUGCAAGAAUGGUGACAUUGAUUAUUGCGAGCUCAAUGCUCGCUUUGGGAUUCGUUCUAUUAUUGCCGACCCUGUCACCUUUAAAUCCAAGAGCAGCUAUCUGAGCCUGGCCACUCUACAGGCCUACACAUCCAUGCACCUCUUCUUCCAGUUCAAGACCACCUCCCCAGACGGCUUCAUAAUCUUCAACUCCGGAGAUGGAAAUGAUUUUAUCGCUGUAGAACUUGUUAAAGGAUACAUCCACUAUGUUUUUGACCUCGGAAAUGGGCCCAACCUCAUCAAGGGCAAAAGUGACAGGGCAUUGAAUGACAACCAGUGGCACAAUGUGGCUAUCACCCGGGACAACAGCAACACCCACACACUGAAGGUAGACGCGACAGCCACUAGUCAGAGUAUCAACGGGGCCAAGAACUUGGACCUGAAAGGUGAUCUGUUCAUCGCAGGACUGGGUCCAGGCAUGUAUGGCAGCCUGCCUAAACUGGUGGCUUCCAGAGAGGGCUACCAGGGCUGUUUGGCGUCGGUAGACCUCAACGGUCGCCUGCCAGAUCUCCUCAAUGACGCUUUGUUUCGCAGCGGGCAGAUUGAGCGUGGAUGUGAAGGUCCCAGCACCACCUGUCAGGAGGACUCCUGUGCCAACAUGGGGAUUUGUAUCCAGCAGUGGGAGAACUACACCUGUGACUGCUCCAUGACCUCCUUCACUGGUACACAGUGCAAUGACCCUGGGACGACGUACAUAUUUGGCAAAGGAGGAGGCCUUAUUACAUUUAAGUGGCCAGCCAAUGAGAGACCGAGCACCAGGACGGACAGGCUGACCGUCGGCUUCAGCACCUCCCUAAAAGAUGGCAUCCUGGUCAGGAUUGACAGUGCCCCAGGUCUAGGGGACUAUCUUAUGCUGCACAUAGAACAAGGCAAAAUUGGAGUGACAUUUAACAUUGGCACAGUGGAUAUCAGUGUGCAGGAGAGCAGUACCCCAGUGAAUGAUGGGAAGUAUCAUGUUGUUCGCUUUACCAGGAAUGGUGGCAAUGCUACACUGCAGGUGGAUAACUGGGCGAUCAAUGAACACUUUCCAACAGGGAACAGUGACAUUGAACGCUAUCAAAUGGCCAAUAAGAAAAUUCCUUUCAAAUACGCCAGACCAGUAGAAGAGUGGCUACAAGAGAAAGGACGGCAGCUAACAAUUUUCAACACUCAAGCAACAGUCGGAAUUGGUGGUAGUGAUUACGGCAGGCCCUUUCAGGGUCAACUGUCUGGCCUUUAUUACAAUGGCCUCAAAGUGUUGAACAUGGCUGCUGAGAGCAACCCCAACAUCAAGAUUAAUGGAAGCGUGAGGUUGGUAGGUGAUGUUCCCAGUGUGGCAGGCUCAGCCAGGACCACAGCCAUGUCUCCAGAAAUGUCCACUACCUUUAUUGAAACUACAACCAUGAUGUCUACCACUACCACACGGAAACACAGAUCCUCCUCAACUGUACAGCAUGCGGCAGAUGACAUUGUGUCAUCUGCAGAGUGUUCGAGUGAUGACGAAGACCUGGAGGAGUGUGAAACUAUCCAUGCAGGUGGGCUAGCCAAAAGCUCUAAUGCCGCCCGACCGCUUCGUACUGCCUUUACAUGGACAUGGCAACUGACUUACACUGUCACCCUCAUCACCCUCAUUUCCUCUGUAGUAUGUUCAUAGGUCCCAGCCCUUCUUCACCGUCUCCCUUGUCUUUAGAGAUAUUAAAGUAUAGAGUCAUCCAUCCAUUCUACACUAAAGUUCAAAUUACAAUUCAAGCAAAAACUGUAACAUGGAUAGAUUUAGAUUCUAUUCAAGUCUAUUGCAAUGAAAACUAUGUAGAUACACUUUCUUUUGUAAAAACAAAUUAUUUACCAGGAAAAAACAAAACAUAAAAAACAGAAUUAUGGUGUUUAUUUUUUAUGUUAUGUGUUGUGGAUGUAUGUGUUGUUGCCUCCCUGUACCGUCGUGUUUUAAGAUAGAACACAAUCUACAGUGGAUAAAAUGAUCUUUAAAGUUACCAAGUGGCUAUCCAACAUUCUUACACAACUUUUCCUUUGUAAACUCUUUUCUUCAUGCCUAAAUCAUGCGGGCAAUUUGUUGAUGAGCUGAGUUAGUCAUCCCAGUACUUCAGGAUCCAUUAGCGCACCUCUCGUAGCUACUUGUGCACCCUUCAUUCCCACUCCCUCAACCCACCACCCACCCCUGACCAUUAUUGAGACCACCAAAGAGUCCUUGUCCAAGGCCACUGAGGCGGGGGUACCUUGCUUGUCGGACCGAGGCAGCGAUGAUUGUGAUGAUGAUGGCUUGGUGAUAUCGGGGUCUGGCUCUGGGGAAGCGUUCAAGUCUAACCUGCC